UACAGAGGUCUCAAGCGUUGUUCGGAUUCAUUGGGCGUAAAGGGUGUGUAGGUGGCGCCGUAAGUCGGGUGUGAAAUCUCGGGGCUUAACUCCGAAACUGCAUUCGAUACUGCGGUGCUUGAGGACUGGAGAGGAGACUGGAAUUUACGGUGUAGCGGUGAAAUGCGUAGAUAUCGUAAGGAAGACCAGUGGCGAAGGCGGGUCUCUGGACAGUUCCUGACACUGAGGCACGAAGGCCAGGGGAGCAAACGGG
rnacentral:rRNA from 1 species